rnacentral:rRNA from 1 species
AUUGAACGCUGGCGGCAGGCCUAACACAUGCAAGUCGAACGAGUGGCGGACGGGUGAGUAAUGUCUGGGAAACUGCCCGAUGGAGGGGGAUAACUACUGGAAACGGUAGCUAAUAACGCAUACUAUCGGAUGUGCCUAGUUCGGAUUAGCUAGUUGGUAGGGUAACGGCUCACCUAGGCGACGAUCCCUAGCUGGUCUGAGAGGAUGAUCAGCCACACUGGACCUGUGACACGGUCCAGACUCCUACGGGAGGCAGCAUUGGGGAAUAUUGGACAAUGGGCGCAAGCCUGAUGCAGCCAUGCCGCGUGUAUGAAGAAGGCCUUCGGGUUGUAAAGUACUUUAAGCUGGGAGGCGUUACUCGCAGAAGAAGCACCGGCUAACUCCGUGCCAGCAGCCGCGGUAAUUC